GACUGCGUAGUGUAAUGGCAACACGCUCGAACAAAUUUCUUUUAAAGUAGUUGAUUUUCACGAGAGGUCUAGGUUCGAUUCCUAGCGCAGUCA